GGGUGUUUGGCCGAGUGGUUUAAGGCGCUACGUUCAGGUUCAUGACCACAUGUGGUCUCAACUGAGAAUCGUAGUAUCGCAAGAUGCGUGAGUUCGAAUCUCACAGCACCCA